rnacentral:rRNA from 1 species
UACGUAGGUGGCGAGCGUUGUCCGGAUUACUGGGCGUAAAGGGAGCGUAGGCGGACUUUAAGUGAGAUGUGAAAUACCCGGGCUCAACUUGGGUGCUGCAUUUCAAACUGGAAGUCUAGAGUGCAGGAGAGGAGAAUGGAAUUCCUAGUGUAGCGGUGAAAUGCGUAGAGAUUAGGAAGAACACCAGUGGCGAAGGCGAUUCUCUGGACUGGUAACUGACGCUGAGGCUCGAAAGCGUGGGGAGCGAAACAGGAUUAGAUACCCGGGUAGU